rnacentral:lncRNA from 1 species
AAUGGAGAUGCGAGCUCAUCCAAGUUCACUGUGAAUUCGAUGUUUAGGAAGACAAAGGAACAUCUGCGCUGCGUGGUGGGUGUAGGUAA